rnacentral:piRNA from 1 species
AAGUUUUCAAGAGUUUGUGGGUAGU